UUCGUCAAAGAAUCGAGUCAAAAGUGGUCUUCCCGGAUGAAUCAGCCAACGAUCCACCUAUCACCGUGACCGGGAGAGACAGAACGUUCCAACGAGCCCAGUUUCGUCCCGAAAGGAGCUGCCAAUCGUCCUGUACGGCCGUCUCAAGACGCCGGUCGCCGGACCGCCUGGUUCCGCCCUGCUUCGCCUGUUUCGACUUUGCAGCCCGUUUUCUUCCAUUCCAGCUGUUCCUUUGCUCAUCCCAACCUCCAACAAGACUCCCAAGACCCUCGGAUGUCACCGGUUUCCAGCCACCCUCCUCGCCGGAGCUCCGGCCAAGCCGUUCAACUUGUUUUCUUCUCCGGCAGGGCUGUUUUUCAGAAGUUUCAGUGGGAGUCCGAGCUGUGGUUGCUGUGUUGAGCUUGGGACCGCCUUGGAUCAUCGUGGUAGAGGUCCCGGAGCGUCACCUCCGUCGUCGCCGCCGCGUCGGUGUUUCCGGCCCGCUUAACGGGUCCCUAGUGUGAAGAGCCAGGAGCUUGAAGUGGAAGGGUCAGGAGCAUAGGUGGCUCAGUAAUUCUUUAUGACAUAGACCUUCUGUAUAAGCUUGAAGUGUUUAUAAAAGUGUAUUUGAUUUGAAA